rnacentral:rRNA from 1 species
AGAGUUUGAUCCUGGCUCAGAUUGAACGCUGGCGGCACGCUUAACACAUGCAAGUCGAACGGUAGCGGAGUGCAUUUAUGUACAGACGACGAGUGGCGAACGGGUGAGUAACGCGUAGGAAUAUGUCAUAUAGAGUGGGACAACUUGGGGAAACUCAAGCUAAUACCGCAUGAUAUCUUAGGAUUAAAGAUAGGGACCUUCGGGCCUUUCGCUAUAUGGGUAGCCUGCGUACGAUUAGUUAGUUGGUAGGGUAAAGGCCUACCAAGGCGAUGAUCGUUAGCUGGUCUGAGAGGACGGACAGCCACACUGGGACUGAGACACGGCCCAGACUCCUACGGGAGGCAGCAGUGGGGAAUAUUGGACAAUGGGGGGAACCCUGAUCCAGCGAUGCCGCGUGUGUGAAGAAGGCCUGCGGGUUGUAAAGCACUUUCAGUUAGGAGGAAGUAUGUUAGGUUAAGAGCUAGACAUAUUGACGUUACUGACAGAAGAAGCACCGGCUAACUCCGUGCCAGCAGCCGCGGUAAUACGGAGGGUGCGAGCGUUAAUCGGAAUUACUGGGCGUAAAGGGUGCGUAGGUUGUUGUAUAAGUUAGUUGUGAAAUACCAGUGCUUAACACUGGGGGGUCAACUAGUACCGUAUGACUUGAGUAAAGCAGAGGGUGGUGGAAUUUCCGGUGUAGCGGUGAAAUGCGUAGAGAUCGGAAGGAACAUCGGUGGCGAAGGCGACCACCUGGGCUAUUACUGACACUGAGGCACGAAAGCGUGGGUAGCAAACAGGAUUAGAUACCCUGGUAGUCCACGCUGUAAACGAUGUCAACUAGCUGUUUGAAACAUUAGAUUUUGAGUAGCGCAGCCAACGCGAUAAGUUGACCGCCUGGGGAGUACGGUCGCAAGAUUAAAACUCAAAGGAAUUGACGGGGGCCCGCACAAGCGGUGGAGCA